CGGACUGACUCCUCGGCGCCUGGACUUAUCUCCGCUCUUCUACUGACUACAAGGUUUUCUACAAACAUGUCUAAAGCCCAACAGCUGAGGGACAGGCUGAAACAACUGCCAGCAGCUGCUGAUGAAGAACUGUUUGAAUUGUUAGCAGGAGUGACCGCAAACUAUGAAGAAGAAAUUAAUCGUUUAAAAGAAGAGAACAAAGGACGGAAAGUUCUGGAAGCUGCUUUUAAUCCACGAGUUCGCUUGUACAAAGCAGACAUGCAGCCGUUGUUGGUGA